rnacentral:sRNA from 1 species
AGAGUGUAAUAUGGCGAAGACCUACGAUUACCUGUUCAAGCUGCUGCUGAUCGGGGACUCGGGGGUGGGGAAGACCUGUGUCCUGUUCCGCUUCUCCGAGGACGCCUUCAACUCCACUUUUAUCUCCACCAUAGGAAUUGACUUUAAAAUUAGGACCAUAGAGCUUGAUGGCAAGAGAAUUAAACUGCAGAUAUGGGACACGGCCGGUCAGGAACGGUUUCGGACGAUCACAACGGCCUACUACAGGGGCGCAAUGGUAGGGAUUUUUUGUUUGGUUGUUUUUAUCUCCUUUUUAAGUCAACAUGGGAGCGUCACUGUGCAUUGGUUACCGAAGCCUAGAUGUUUCUGUGGCGCCUGUGCCCCGAGUCCUCAGGGCUCCUUGGUCCCAAGUUAGUCUUAGGAACAGGCUUUGUGCCCCGGCCUACCCCAUGUACAUACCUCCCCUUCUGGCUGCAGAGACAAUGCAGGGUUUAAAUAAAGUGGAAACAUAAUUCUUGGGGAAUGAAGGAAGACACAGGAAGCCAGUUCUUCCAGGUGAGCUCAGUGCGGUCAAAGCCGGCAUGCCCUGACUUUUAGG